AUUCGCUUAGCACAACCCCAGGGAAGGGAACACAGGGGUAGAAGAGAAGACACGCAGACCCAGACCCAGACUGAGACCCAACAGCAGAUAAAAGGGUCUGAGAGCAGCCCGUCAGUGUUCGCUCCCGGGUAACUGAGAGACUUGCUUGACUUACACGAAAGAAAGCGGGGAGAGGAUUAAAGGGAAAAGUAGUGCCCCCCAAAGCUUAACUAUUUUAGAAAGCAAAGCAAAGAAAAAUCACUUUCCUGGGGAUAAAAGGCCGGGAAAACAGCCUGUCGGAGACACAAAGCUUCCUCAUCUGCUAAACGCCCUGUAAGAAUGGCAGUGUCCUUGUAAGGAUUAAAUAAGACCCUAGGUGGUUCUUGUCUCUCUGGAAUCAUAUUUGACUCACAGUUGGUUUUGCAACAGGCCCUGAACCUCUUCUUGCCAACUUCUUUCUCUGCACCCCACCCCACCCUUAACUGCCAUGACAUUUGUUAAUUUAAAAGAAAACACAUCACUCCCCUUUGCAACUGUGACUUUUCAACAGCAAAAGAAAGUAAAAUUCUGAAGAGCUUCAAGUGUAAAAUGUUUUAUUCAGAUUUUAUUUUGUUGGUUGACUUUUAAAAACCUCUUUCCUUGGUUGCUAUUUCUGGGAAAGAAAGAAACAACUGUGCAUAAUCAGUUGUUUACUGGACAUUAUGCACAUUUGUACUGGUAAUUCAGAGUCAGCUUUUAAUUGUGUACAUUUUUUAGAAUCUUCCUGUUAAGGUGUAGAUAAUCUCUUUUUAAAAGAUAAUUUGCUGUUUUGAUAAUAAUGGUCAUCAAAUUCCUUACCAUUUUUUUCAAAUUAGAAAUAGCACUGUUUCCACAGAGAAAUCCUUUCUUCCUUAACAGAGAAAAGAGACAGAACAAGUUCCACUAUUUGCUACUUGUAUGUUAGAAAAUUCACUUGAUUGGCCUAGGCACCUGCUGUCUAACUCACUUACUCAGUCUCUAAGCCUCUUAGGGUAGAAGCAACUUCCUGUCUGCUGCUGUCCAUUAAAGAGCUGACAACAGCAGCUUGCUUUACAAUGCAAAUUUCUUGUGUUGUGCUAACAAUAAAAUAAUAGGUGUAUUCUUAAUUUCCUUCCCAAUGACAGAAUAGGACAUUUUUUUUAAGAUUUGAUUUUCUCUUUUACAGAAAGAAAUAGAUGCAGUGAAAAAUAGUUGCUUUGAAAGAAUUACAGUGGUUUAACAAAAGCAUUAAAUCACGGCUUGUUGUUUCCCAUCUCUGAAAACAUAUUUCUGAAGUGUGACAAGAUAAAGAUUCUCUGCAUGCUUUGAACACAAUUGACCUUUAAACAGCACAGCAGUCUUUGCUAUGAAGGGAUUUGUUUUGUUUUGUUUUGUCUUUUUUUGUCCUUUGUCUGUUGACAUUGCUGCACACCAUAUGAAGGUAUACAUUUAACAUAGGUGGAAUUCUAAUUUAAAAAAUCUCCAAUAGAUGGAACAUUUAAACAUAACACUUUACCUUAUCAAUAUAAAUUAUUAUUAAUAAUAAAAUCAGUAUU